UAUCAAUAAUAUCUGUUUCUCUCUUCUCUUAUCUUCCUAAUUUAAUUUGACGCAACUCUGUUCAAGGAUUGAUUCUUCCACCCCCAAUCCUUUAGGAUUGCGUAACUGAAUUCUUCAUUGAGCUCGCUUCAUUGGUAUCAAAGCUAGGCGAUUCUCGGACGCAGGAAAGAUGCCGGAGCUGAUGGCAGCGAACACCAAAAAUGGUGAAUUGGGGCGUGAGAUGGACGAAUUGCGUGAGCAAGUUCGAGCGCAAGGAGCUAAGCAUGAAGAUGCUUUGGAUGAGAUACGAUAAUUACUGGCAAACAUGGUACUGGGAAUGGAAUUCCGGCGGGUCAAGUAACUCCAACUAUGGCCUAAUGGUCGUUAUCAGCGAUUUGAAUUUUCUAGAUUUAGUGGGGAAGAUAUUAAUGGAUGGUUGUAUAAGGCAGAGUAAUUCUUCGAUUAUGAAAAGAUUUCGGAGGAAAAUAGGAUUCAAGGUGCCUCCAUUAGUUUGGAGGGUAAGUCGUUCCAAUGGCACAAAAUGUAUAUGAGGGCAAGAAUAGAAAGGUUUCCCAAUUGGAACAAUUAUGUAAGGGCAAUACAUCUCUGAUUUGGGGAUGUUGAGCAUGCAGAUCCUAUGGCAGAAUUGGUGGCAUUCAAACAAACGGGAAGUGGGCAGGAUUACCUUGAUAAAUUUGAUGAAUUGUUGAACCAAGUAAAGGUAAAAGAAGAGCAUUCUAUUAGCAUUUUCUUGGCCAAUCUUAAACCAGAAAUUGAAGUGCAAAAGAGGAUACUAGGCCCUAGAACACUUAUGAAAGCUUACAGUCAAGUAAGGUUGGCUGAGCAAUCCCUCAAACUUCAACAAAAUUAGACCCAAGCUAUGGUGAGGAGUUCAAGAUUUUUACUUCCUGCUUCUAGCAAUGCUUGGAGUACCACUUCAAAAGGAUCUUUCUCAAACCAGAUGGGUGAAGGAAGCAUGGCCAUAGUGAAUAACAGGUACAAUAAAUCUAAUAAUAAACUAGUACUUCCAGGAUCUAGGAGACUAUCUGAUGUAGAAAUGGACGAGAAAAGAGGCCAAGAGCUUUGUUAUUGGUGUGAUGAGAAGUACACUCCCAACAUAAGUGUAGUAAAAGAAAGAAAGUAUUCAUUCUUGAAUUGGAUGAAGGAACAGAAGAUGGAGAGUGGGAGGAGAAUUUGGUGGAUGAGGAGACUUUUGAGGAAUCAACACUCAAUCCUCAAGUGUCUAUGCACGCACUAAAUGACACCAGUGAUUAUAGGACCAUGAGGGUAUCAAAGGCAAAAUGGUACAUGCUUUAAUCGAUUCUGGAUCAACCCACAAUUUCAUGGAUUUGUCAGUAGCCAAGAGAUUAGGGUGUAAACUAGACAGUAUUACUCCAUUUGUAAUGGCUGUAGUUGAUAGAAAUAAGGUUCACAGCUCUGUGAUGACUCACAGAAUGACAUGGAAGAUGCAAGAUGUGAAUUUCAGAGAUGAUAUACUGGUCAUUCCAUUAGGUGGUACGGAUGUGGUACUGGAGAUACAAUGGCUGAUCACACUAGGCGACAUAAGAUGGAACUUCAAAUUACUAAGGAUGGAAUUUCACAUUGGGGGUAGGAAGGUUUCUUUAAGAGGUAGUCAACCUGGAACCUUCAAAGUAGUAGCUGAUGUUAGAAUGCAGAAGAUGCUUAAAAAGCCAAGCUAAAUCAACAUGUUAUCAGUAGCUUUCAUCCAACCAAUUGAGGAAGCUAAACCAGCCAUGUGCUACCAAGAAGUGCAAGCACCAAAAGAUUUACAGCAGAUCCUAAAAUAGUAUGCCUAAUUAUUUGAAGUACCCAACAAACUACCUUCCUACAGGAAUCACGACCACGGGAUUGUAUUGAAAGAAGGGACAUUACCAAUCAAUGUGAGACCUUACAGAUACCCAGCAUGCCAGAAAGAUGAGAUUGAGAGGAUGGUAAAGGAGAUGUUAGAACAUAGCAUCAUCAGGCCAUGUGUGAGUCCUUUUUCUUCUCCUAUUAUUACGGUUAAGAAAAACAAUAGUACAUGGAGAGUUUGUAUAAACGAUAGGAAGUUAAAUGACUGUACUGUCAAAGAUAAAUUUCCUAUUCAUGUGAUUGAGGAGUUAUUGCAUGAACUAGGGGGAUCGAAAUACUUUUCUAAGUUGGAUUUAAGAUCCGGUUAUCACCAGAUUAGAAUGACUGAUCAUGACAUUGAGAAAAUAACUUUUAGAUCUCAUCAUGGCCAUUAUGAGUUUGUUGUAAUGCCUUUUGGAUUGACAAAUACACCUUCAACAUUCCAAAAUCUAAUGAAUGAGAUUUUUCAACCUUCCCUAAGGAAGUUUAUUCUGGUAUUUUUUUUAUGACAUUCUCAUUUACAGCCCUUCAAGGUCUGAGCAUUUGAUACACUUGAAGGAAGCUUUUAAUAUCUUACAAGGAAACCAAUUAUUUGUUAAGCUUAGCGAAUGCUCUUUUGGGAAGACUGAAGUUGACUAUCUAUGACAUAUCAUCACUCAAGCAGGAGUUACUGCUGAUCCAGAGAAGGUGAAGGGUUAUGGAAUUAUUGCAAGACCUCUCAUAGAGCUGCUGAAGAAAGACAAGUUCAAGUGGUCUGACGAAGCCACAGAAGCUUUCCAGAAACUGAAGCAGGCUAUGAGCACUACACCUAUAUUGGCUCUACCAAACUUCUCUUUGGAAUUUGUCAUCAAAGCUGAUGCAUGUGGGGUGGGUAUUGGAGAUGUUCUAAUGCAGGUUGAGCAUCCCUUAGCCUAUAUGAGCAAUGCCCUUAGCACCAAACAUCAACAACUAUCAGUAUAUGAGAAGGAAAUGAUGGAUGUUGUUACUGAUAUUGACAAACGGAGACCUUGCUUGAUUGGGAGGCAUUUUCUUAUUAAAACAAACCAUUAGAGCCUCAAAUAUUUGUUGGAACAAAGAAUUUUCACUCCAAGCCAACAGAAGUAGCUGGCCAAAUUGAUGGGAUAUGAUUACUCUAUUGUGUAUAAGAAAGGAAAAGAGAACAUUGUGGCUGAUGCACUAUUCAGAUGCCUUGUGCAAGAAGCUCAACUACAGACAUUGACCACAAUCACCUCUGAUUUCUUACUAAGGAUUCAAGAUUCAUACAAAGGGCAUCUACAUCUCGAGAAAUUGCUAGCUCAACUUCAAGCAGAUCCUCUCUCUAAUCCAGUUUACAUGCUACAAGAGGGUGUACUCUAUAGAAAAGGGAAAAUAGUGGUAGGAUUUGAUCCCACUUUGCGAAAGUAAAUAUUGCAAUUCUCACAUGAUUCAGCCAUGGGUGGCCACUCUGGGAUGGAUGUUACUUUGUUCAGGAUCAACGGAGUGUACUACUGGGCCAAGAUGAAGCAGGAUGUCCACAAGCACGUUCGAAACUGUGAGGUAUGCCAAAAAUGCAAAGGGGAAAAUGUCAGCUAUCCAGGGCUCUUACAACCUCUUCCCAUACCUGAGAAAAUUUGGCAAGACAUUAGUCUAGACUUCAUUGAGGGACUUCCCAAAUCUCAUCAGAAAUCAGUCAUAUUAGUGGUAAUAGAUAGACUGAGCAAGUAUGCUUACUUUAUUGGGUUGGCACAUCCUUACACUGCUUCUACAGUCGCUCAAGUAUUUUUUGACAAUAUUUACAAGUUCCAUGGUCUACCUCAAACAAUAAUGAGUGACAAGGAUGUCAUUUUUCUAAGCAAAUUCUAGCAGGUUGUAUUUGAGACACAGGGAGUACAGUUGCAUCACUCUAGUGCCUAUCAUCCCCAAUCCGAUGGACAAACAGAGGUAUUGAAUAAGUGUGUGGAAAGAUACCUUAGAUGAGUGUAAUGAUCGACCUAAAGAAUUGCUACAAUGGUUACCCCUUGCAGAAUAAUGGUAUAAUACAAAUUAUCACACUGCUAUCAAAAUGACUCUUUUUGAAAUUCCUUAUGGGCAGAAGCCACCUACUCACAUACCUUACAUAGCUCAUACAUCUAUCGCGGACCAGGUGGAUAGAAGCCUAUAAGCUAGAAAAGCUACCAUACAGCUUCUCAAACACCAUUUGCAGUUAGCUAAAUGUAGAAUGAAGGCACAAGCAGACAAGAAGAGAACUCUCAGGACUUUUGAUGUUGGUGAUAUGGUUUUCGUAAGACUUCAACCUUACAGGAAAAUAUCUUUCAAAGGCCACUCCUAUCACAAACUCAGUCCCAAGUACUUUGGCCCUUUCAAGGUUAUGAAGCAGGUGGGCAAUGUAGCUUAUAAGUUGGACCUUCCCCCUCAAGCUAAAAUUCAUCCCACAUUUCAUGUUUCACAGCUGAAGAAAUAUAUUGGCACUGCUACUGUGAUACCAGAUUUACCAGUUUCAUUAUCACCUCAUGGAUGCAUUGUUCUGGAGAGGAUCAUUACUAAGCUUGGGCACCAGAUCACCCAGGUCCUUGUGAAAUGGUUUAACUGUCCUAAGGAGGAUAGUACAUUGAUGGAUCUUCGCAUGUUACAACAAUAAUUUCCUCACUUUAGUCCUUGAGGACAAGGACUUUUUGAGAGGGGGGAAACUUGUUAUAUAGCAAUUGUAUAGAUAUAGAAUAUAGAAGUGAAAAUUGUUAAAGUCAUUACUAGUUGGUUAAGGAGUUUGUAAAGUUAGUUACAGCAGUUAGCUAUAGGGAAAGAAUAUAUACGCUAUCAGUGGAAAUUGUAAUAGUUAGUCAAAUUUACGCAUUUCUCUAUCAAUAAUAUCUGCUUCUCUCUGCUCUUA